rnacentral:lncRNA from 1 species
AGAAAACAAUUAAAUUAUUGAAAUAUAAAAUAAUCAUCUUAUACAUUGGAUUACACCCUCUCCAUUGAUCCUGAUUUUGGAAUCCUCUUUUCAUAAUUUGUCAUCAUCAUCAGUUCUAAUAAAUAUUACUUAAUUAUUUAUAUUUUAUUCAAGACCAAGGAAAACUCUGUCUUUAUACAAGUCUUCAUACUUUGUCAUCAUCAUCAAUACCAACUGGAAGAGCAUGUGGUGUUGGUCGUUGUCCUCAUCCUAACACACACAGAGUCCUUCACUGAUCAAGGAGCUCCACCAUCUCAUACUCAAAAUUGACCUGCAACUCCCUGUAGAUUCUCCUUGCAAACUGUAUGCAAUCUUCAUACAUGGGAAACCUAACAAUGAAAGAUUCCAUGAAUAAUCUCUGGAAGUUAAUAUUGAAGUUGUUUGGUGUCUUUAGUGAUGCUGUGUCGUUUUAUUUAUGUUAAAAGUCAAGUUUGUUGUGUUUGUUGUUUAGGUCACUGAACUUUAUGUAAGUGACAAAAUAGUUUGUUAGAUAGAAAGUGGUUGAACGUGCUUGCUAAUUUCCAGUGAUCAUGGCUAAUCUGUUAGGCCAUUAUCUGUACUUAAGGCUUGAAGUCUGCAACUGAACAAUUUUAGACCAAUUAGAAGGAUUAUCACUCUACCGCCACAUCAGCAUAUCAGACGGAAUCAUUAUCAGAAUUGGAUGGAAAAUAUAACAAAAGGACACAAUCAGUUAACUGACUAUAGUACCGAAGGUGGAUGAACAAUUUAAUAAUAUAGAGAAAAAUCAGUGUUUUUCCAAUGGCAUAUAGAAGAUAAAGAAACAAUACAUCCGGACAGUCACCGGUGUUUUCAUUGCCCUCCUCCACCGUACCUCAUCUCGCGGACACCACUCCUCCGGCGGAGAGUACAGACAAACGGUUC